UACUAGCAUAUGUUAACGUUGCUGCAGUUAAAACGCUCGUAGUUGGGGUGAGAGGUUGAACGAAACGGCUCCGAAAGGAGCUGCGACGAACGGCCUUUUUUUGGCGGCUACCCGUUAGUUCGGGUGCCACCGGUAAACCUUGAAAAAAUAUUGACGCUCAAACUUGGACUUUGGUCCUAGUUCUUUCUGCAUGGGAUUUUGGAAAACGCGCGGGGGGUAAAACUCUCGCGAAUGACCUUUGAGGAUGAUAGUGGCAGUUCAUAUUGAGACGUCAGAGGUGAAAUUCUUGGAUUGUCAUAAGAUGAACUGAUGCGAAAGCGUCCUGCAAUAGCUUUCCUGUCAAC
rnacentral:rRNA from 1 species